rnacentral:lncRNA from 1 species
CAACAAUCUCCGACGAAGACUAGUUCGAUCUGGAAACUCCGAUGAAGAGUUUGGUUUGAUGGGCGAUGGCAAGCUUAGGCCAUCUUAUAAAGGCAGGCGUACGUGAAGCAAAAUCAUGGUUUCAUAGACAUCGUCAUGGUUCCACCAUCGUCAUAUUGCAUUAAUAUAUUCAUUGACAUACCUUCCAAUCUCAUGCGAUGUGCACAAUGUGUAGGCAUUUCCACAAACACUUACGGAGAAGGGGUGACAAAUGAAUUAUCGAUCUUCCGUCAUCGUCAGAUUAUAUUAAUAUAUUCAUAGACAUAUUUUCCAAUCUCAUGCAAUCUCUCCAUCUUGAAAAAGAUCAGUCGACAUAUAUAGUGAAGUUGAAGCAUCUUAUCGGAGUGUUUCUACGCGUGACCAUUCUCUGUAGUAAGUAGUCAUUCAACAACCACCGACGAAGACUAGCUCGAUCUUACACUCCGAGGAACACUCCGAUGGACGAUGAGUAACAAUUGGAUGUGUUUUUUGGAUAAGAUUUUUGUAUUACAAAAAAUAGAUUUACUUUUUAUUCACAGUAAUGAAUAAAGAUACG